GAUGAACGCUAGCUACAGGCUUAACACAUGCAAGUCGAGGGGCAGCAUGAUUGAAGCUUGCUUCAAUCGAUGGCGACCGGCGCACGGGUGAGUAACACGUAUCCAACCUGCCGAUAACUCGGGGAUAGCCUUUCGAAAGAAAGAUUAAUACCCGAUAGUAUAGUAUUUCCGCAUGGUUUCACUAUUAAAGAAUUUCGGUUAUCGAUGGGGAUGCGUUACAUUAGAUAGUUGGCGGGGUAACGGCCCACCAAGUCAACGAUGGAUAGGGGUUCUGAGAGGAAGGUCCCCCACAUUGGAACUGAGGCACAGUCCAAACUCCUACGGGAGGCAGCAGUAAGGAAUAUUGGUCAAUGGACGAGAGUCUGAACCAGCCAAGUAGCGUGAAGGAUGACUGCGCUAGGGGUUGUAAGCUUCUUUUAUACGGGAAAAAAGUGGGGUAUGCAUACUCCUUUGUAUGUACCGUAUGAAUAAGGAUCGGCUAACUCCGUG
rnacentral:rRNA from 1 species